rnacentral:lncRNA from 1 species
UAUUUAAAAUAUCUGUAAUGAAUACAACUAUGUUAUUAAAAUAAAUGUUAUUUAGGGUGAGAAAUAUCGUGACCAGGAGUGCUCGAUUAGGAUGAGAUCUCCUCAACAUGAAUCUGGUCCUCGAGGAAAGUCAUACCCGAUGAGGUGUGAGUUUGGUUGCACGACUACAAUAGGUUUGAGGGAGUGCGAGGAGAGGACAAGAUCGAGCUUGAUUAAAGAAUUAGUCAACGACAGUUGUCAACACGUGGGUUCUAGAGAGUUCGGGCACGAAACCCGCUGAAACCCACUCAAUAGCAAUUGUGGUGUCCAUUCGCCCACGAUAAUGCUAUUGACCCAAUAAUGAUCGUGGGGAGAGGAAGCCGAAGAUUCCGUUUGAAUAUAAAAGCUACAGGGGAUAAAGGUAAAGGGGUUAGACAAUUCUUUAGACUAGACUUUUAUAUAAUCACUCUCUUCUUCCUCAAAAACUUUUUAUGGAGAUUGCUCUUUUCUCUUUUUAAAAAUCGAUUACUAAUUUAAGCGUCGGAAGGUUUUUGCCGGAAAAACAUCCAGCGCUCCUCUAACGGAGUGUUGUGAGUGCUCUUUUCUCUUUAAAUUUAAUUUUUUUGUUUAAAGUAAUCAGAGUGAAGCCACGAAAUUGUAGCACAAGUUUUUCUGUGAAAAUCACAAUCACUAACUUGAGCGUCGGAAGGUUUUUGCUAAAAAAACAUAUGGUGCCCCUCUAACAGAGUGUUGUGAGUGUAGGUGGUCCGGGCAAACAAGUGUGAGGUUAAGGGUGAUUGCUUGAGUAGGGAAAGCCACAACAUUAAGCCGUCAUUCCUAGUACAAAUUCAAGUGUCGACAAGAUUAUCUGCUCGAGUUAAUGAAACCGAACUAAUUUUUGUAUCAACAAAUGUAGUAAUUUAAAAUUUAAUAUUAUUUUAAAUG